GACUAUUGUGGUUUAAUCUAACAUAUCCCCAAAUAUCAUCUGUUCAGAAGUGGUCUUCUGGAAGGUGGUUGAGUUAUGAAGACACUAUAGUUAGGAAGAGAAUGAUCUAUUGAUGAAUUCAUAUCUGAGUGUACUGUUAGGAUGAUGGAUCUACUUGAAAGAGUUUUGAGAAGACGCAUUGACUGUGCCCAGAAUUUCUCUCCCUUCUUCAUCCUCUAUGUCAUGAAAGUUCAGAUAAGGAAGAUUCCCAACAGCUAUGAAUAUUAGUUGAUGUUUUCGAGGGAAACAGUGCCCAAAGGAGGUGAAAACUGUUCACACACCCACCACCAGAAUGGAAGUAAGUAGCUCUUAAAGUUCAUGGUGGGAGUGGUAAAU